GAUGCAGCUCGGCGACGACUUCGCGCCCGCGGACGUUUCGGCCGCCCACCGUGAAUGGGCGCGGCGCUUCGCCGCGAGCGUGCCGCGCCGCACCU
rnacentral:tRNA from 1 species